rnacentral:rRNA from 1 species
GGGGAUAACAGUUGGAAACGACCGCUAAUACCGCAUAAGCCAACAGGGGCGCAUGCUCUGGUUGGAAAAGAUUAAUCGGUGUGAGAUGGACCCGCGUCUGAUUAGCCAGUUGGCAGGGUAACGGCCUACCAAAGCGACGAUCAGUAGCCGGCCUGAGAGGGUGAACGGCCACAUUGGGACUGAGACACGGCCCAAACUCCUACGGGAGGCAGCAGUGGGGAAUAUUGCACAAUGGGGGAAACCCUGAUGCAGCGACGCCGCGUGAGUGAAGAAGUAUUUCGGUAUGUAAAGCUCUAUCAGCAGGGAGGAAAAUGACGGUACCUGACUAAGAAGCCCCGGCUAACUACGUGCCAGCAGCCGCGGUAAUACGUAGGGGGCAAGCGUUAUCCGGAUUUACUGGGUGUAAAGGGAGCGUAGACGGUGAUGCAAGUCAGAAGUGAAAGCCCGGGGCUCAACUCCGGGACUGCUUUUGAAACUGUAUAACUGGAGUGCAGGAGAGGUAAGCGGAAUUCCUAGUGUAGCGGUGAAAUGCGUAGAUAUUAGGAGGAACACCAGUGGCGAAGGCGGCUUACUGGACUGUAACUGACGUUGAGGCUCGAAAGCGUGGGGAGCAAACAGGAUUAGAUACCCUGGUAGUCCAGGCCGUAAACGAUGAA